rnacentral:rRNA from 1 species
AACGAACGCUGGCGGCGUGCCUCAGACAUGCAAGUCGAACGAUUAAGACUUCCUUCGGGAAGUGCAUAAAGUGGCGCACGGGUGAGUAACACGUAAGUAAUCUACCCUCGAGUGGGGAAUAACGUUCGGAAACGAACGCUAAUACCGCAUAACGCAGCGGCACCGCAAGGUGACAGUUGUUAAAGGAGCAAUCCGCUUGAGGAGGAGCUUGCGGCAGAUUAGCUAGUUGGUAAGGUAAUGGCUUACCAAGGCUACGAUCUGUAUCCGGUCUAAGAGGACGGUCGGACACAAUGACACUGAAUAACGGGUCAGACUCCUACGGGAGGCAGCAGUCGGGAAUUUUGGGCAAUGGGCGAAAGCCUGACCCAGCAACGCCGCGUGAAGGAUGAAGUAUUUCGGUAUGUAAACUUCGAAAGAAUGGGAAGAAUAAAUGACGGUACCAUUUAUAAGCUCCGGCUAACUACGUGCCAGCAGCCGCAGUAACAC